UGCAGGCAUGUCAUAUUAUGAACUUUCAAUCAAUACUUUAAAAAAUUGAACAAGCUUUUAAGAUGGCUGCCACAAAAAAUUGUGAUUUUUGGAAUUUGGACUACAGACAAUA